rnacentral:rRNA from 1 species
CCUACGGGAGGCAGCAGUGAGGAAUAUUGGUCAAUGGACGAGAGUCUGAACCAGCCAAGUAGCGUGAAGGAUGACUGCCCUAUGGGUUGUAAACUUCUUUUAUAUGGGAAUAAAAUGUUCCACGUGUGGGAUUUUGUAUGUACCAUAUGAAUAAGGAUCGGCUAACUCCGUACCAGCAGCCGCGGUAAUCCGGAGGAUCCGAGCGUUAUCCGGAUUUAUUGGGGUUAAAGGGAGCGUAGGUGGAUUGUUAAGUCAGUUGUGAAAGUUUGCGGCUCAACCGUAAAAUUGCAGUUGAAACUGGCAGUCUUGAGUACAGUAGAGGUGGGCGGAAUUCGUGGUGUAGCGGUGAAAUGCUUAGAUAUCACGAAGAACUCCGAUUGCGAAGGCAGUUCACUGGACUGCAACUGACACUGAGGCUCGAAAGUGUGGGUAUCAAACAGGAUUAGAUACCCUGGUAGUC